GGGGCUGUAACUCAAUGGCAGAGUGCUCGCCUAGCACGUGUGAGGCACUGGGUUCGAUCCUUAGCACCA
rnacentral:tRNA from 1 species